GAACUGGUGACUCAGACAGUAAAGAACCUGCCUGCAAUGCAGGAGACCCGGGUUCGAUCCCUGGCUUCU
rnacentral:tRNA from 1 species